AAUCAACGCUGGCGGCGUGCCUAACACAUGCAAGUCGAACGAGAAAGUGGAGCAAUCCAUGAGUACAGUGGCGACCGGGUGAGUAACACGUGACCAAUCUACCCUCGAGUGGGGGAUAACUCCGGGAAACCGGAGCUAAUACCGCAUAACAUCUUCGGUACGUAGGUACUGAUGAUCAAAGGAGCAAUUCGCUUGAGGAGGAGGUCGCGGCUGAUUAGCUAGUUGGUGGGGUAAUGGCCCACCAAGGCAAAGAUCGGUAGCCGGCCUGAGAGGGCGCACGGCCACACUGGAACUGAAACACGGUCCAGACUCCUACGGGAGGCAGCAGUGGGGAAUUUUGCGCAAUGGGGGAAACCCUGACGCAGCAACGCCGCGUGGAGGAUGAAGUCCUUUGGGACGUAAACUCCUUUCGACCCGGAAGAUACUGACGGUACGGGUGGAAGAAGCACCGGCUAACUCUGUGCCAGCCGCCGCCGUAA
rnacentral:rRNA from 1 species